UCUAAGUUCUUUAAAAGCAAGGUAAGGUCUUCUUCAUGUGUUUACCUCAAGUGCAGAGCUUCCCACAUCGUACUGUGACUAUUCACUGAUCUCCCUCAGAAGACUGGAGCCCCUCAAGGGCUUGCUCAAAAGCAAGACCU